rnacentral:rRNA from 1 species
CUACGGGAUGCAGCAGUGAGGAAUAUUGCACAAUGGGGGAAACCCUGAUGCAGCAACGCCGCGUGGAGGAUGACGCAUUUCGGUGUGUAAACUCCUUUUAUAUGUCAAGAAAAUGACGGUAGCAUAUGAAUAAGCACCGGCUAACUCCGUGCCAGCAGCCGCGGUAAUACGGAGGGUGCAAGCGUUAUUCGGAAUCACUGGGCGUAAAGGACGCGUAGGCGGGUUUGCAAGUCAGGUGUGAAAUCCUAUGGCUCAACCAUAGAACUGCACUUGAAACUGCGAACCUAGAGUAUGGAAGGGGCAGAUGGAAUUAGUGGUGUAGGGGUAAAAUCCGUAGAUAUCACUAGGAAUACCAAAAGCGAAGGCGAUCUGCUGGGACAUUACUGACGCUAAGGCGUGAAAGCGUGGGGAGCAAACAGGAUUAGAUACCCGCGUAGUC